rnacentral:lncRNA from 1 species
UCCGAAACAGUUGGAUUUCUCUUUAUGUCUAAUGUCACCCAUUGAGCAUGUAUGUGUAAUAGGUGUCAUGCCCCGAGCCCGCCUAUUUGGUCGGAUUCGGUCACGCCAACAGACCGCCAAACGUACAGGGUUUUUUCUGUACCACGGACAGAGUCUCCUCUAUACGUCCAAGGCGUCACAAUUCAUACAAUGCGUGAGGUUCCAACCAGGAGCAACAUACAACAAAGAUUGCAUAAGGAAGAUAUCGAAAACAUAAAUACAUCUAUGCUAUUACAAAAAUUCGUCUCACAUUACAUUUUACAUACACAUUUUGCAUUAUUUAACUCUUUUUAGCUUCCAAAUACAAUCCGAUUUAACAUGAUUAUUACAACAUUGUUCUUUUCAUUUUUUUUACAUCCCUAAGUAGCCGACUUAGGGUACUGCUAUCUCUAGUCUCGGUGGUAGGGCGCUAACUACCGAGCUACGCCAUUUCCUCGCGCCGCUGCGCCACUCACGCGUGAACCUGUACCCCCAAAAAUAACACGGCGGUGAGAACUAUUGUCCAUAGUUCCCAAUGGGUACGGCCACCCAAGGGAAGAGCUCGACCCACCAGGUCUAAAGGAGGCACUGCAAACAUGUUAGUCCAACAAAUAUCCACAGAUAUAUAUAAUUUAUGCAACUAACAAUUAUUAUGUUCAUACCUCACAAUAUGCAAUAUGUGAAUCAAUCAAGUAGUUCACUUGAUUCUAUUCUUUACCGUUUGUCAUUCUUCAAUAUUAUUCGUUCUUGAUUACUAGCCAUUCUUUAUCACUAGCCGUUCUCUAACGCUAGCCAUUUCUUAUUACCAGUCGUUCUUGAUUCUUAGCCAUUCUUUAUUAUUACUAUACUUUAGCAUUAACCGUUCUUUAUUCUUUAUUCUUUAAUAAGGGUACUCACACCUUAGCCAUAUUAUACUCAUUUGCCAUUCUUUCC